UACGUAGCAGCAAGCGUUGUUCGGAGUUACUGGGCGUAAAGAGUGCGUAGGCGGUUUCGUAAGUUUGGUGUGAAAUCUCCCGGCUUAACUGGGAGGGUGCGCCGAAACUAGCGGGGCUGGAGUGUGGGAGAGGUAAGCGGAAUUCCGUGGUGUAGCGGUGAAAUGCGUAGAUAUCAGGAGGAACACCGGCGGUGUAGACGGCUACUGGACCAUGACUGACGCUGAGGCACGAAGCGUGGGAGCAAACAGG
rnacentral:rRNA from 1 species